rnacentral:lncRNA from 1 species
AUCUGGCUGAUCUGUGAGAAGUAUUGGAAUGCACGAGGAAGCAUGGGUUGAAAAUGAACCCGAACAAGUGUGCAUUCGGCGUAUCGACCGGGUAGUUCCUAGGAUUCAUGGUUCACGAGCGCGGGAUAGAAGUCAACUGGAAAAUCAUAGCGGCCAUCAAUAAGGUUGUAGCCCCACAGAACAAAACUGAGUUGCAAUCUCUAAUUGGCAAAGUUAAC